AAGGCAUGUCCGAAGAAUCGUCACUGAUCGAAGCUUACAAUAGGGCGUGACUUUUCUCACACUCAUAGAAAUGCUUUGGGAUGAAAGUCUCCGACCUGUCAAUAUGCGAAAAACGCAACGAGAUGUAAAAACUUUUACAAUGUUUAAAUCAACUCGUUAGGAAAUCAAUCUAUCUGUAAUCAGGUAGUUUGGCUCCUCCUCUCCUGUGUGCUUCUGUGCGCAGUGAAUUUCGGUGUUGAAGCUUAUUUUUAAGUUUUAAACCAUAGUUAUGACGAUUGCCGACAGCCUUUUGGCUGCUGGUAACCCGAUGGAGCUUAUUUCUUGGAUCAUGCCCUUCGACC